AAGGAUAUGGUAGGAGAGCGUUCUGUAAGCCUGUGAAGGUGUCUUGUAAAGGAUGCUGGAGGUAUCAGAAGUGCGAAUGCUGACAUGAGUAGCGAUAAUGCGGGUGAAAAGCCCGCACGCCGUAAGCCCAAGGUUUCCUGUUCAACGUUCAUCGGAGCAGGGUGAGUCGGCCCCUAAGGCGAGGCAGAGAUGCGUAGCUGAUGGGAAGCAGGUUAAUAUUCCUGCACCGUCGUUAGAUGCGAUGGGGGGACGGAUCGCGGAAGGUUGUCCGACUGUUGGAAUAGUCGGUUUUUGCAUCGAAGAAGGCUGUUAGGCAAAUCCGGCAGCGUAAUUCAAGGGUGUGAGACGAGCGAACUUGUUCGCGAAGCAAUCGGAAGUGGUUCCAAGAAAAGCCUCUAAGCUUCAGUCUAACGAGACCGUACCGCAAACCGACACAGGUGGGCGAGAUGAGUAUUCUAAGGCGCUUGAGAGAACUCGGGAGAAGGAACUCGGCAAAUUGGUACCGUAACUUCGGGAUAAGGUACGCCCAAGUAGUUUGACUGGCCUGCGCCAGAAGGACAAAAGGGUUGCAAUAAAAUGGUGGCUGCGACUGUUUAAUAAAAACACAGCACUCUGCAAACACGAAAGUGGACGUAUAGGGUGUGACGCCUGCCCGGUGCUGGAAGAUUAAAUGAUGGGGUGCAAGCUCUUGAUUGAAGUCCCAGUAAACGGCGGCCGUAACUAUAACGGUCCUAAGGUAGCGAAAUUCCUUGUCGGGUAAGUUCCGACCUGCACGAAUGGCGUAACGAUGGCCACACUGUCUCCUCCCGAGACUCAGCGAAGUUGAAAUGUUUGUGAUGAUGCAAUCUACCCGCGGCUAGACGGAAAGACCCCAUGAACCUUUACUGUAGCUUUGCAUUGGACUUUGAACCAAUCUGUGUAGGAUAGGUGGGAGGCUUUGAAGCAGGAACGCUAGUUUCUGUGGAGCCGACCUUGAAAUACCACCCUGGUUUGUUUGAGGUUCUAACCUUGGUCCGUUAUCCGGAUCGGGGACAGUGCAUGGUAGGCAGUUUGACUGGGGCGGUCUCCUCCCAAAGUGUAACGGAGGAGUUCGAAGGUACGCUAGGUACGGUCGGACAUCGUGCUAAUAGUGCAAUGGCAUAAGCGUGCUUAACUGCGAGACUGACAAGUCGAGCAGGUACGAAAGUAGGACAUAGUGAUCCGGUGGUUCUGUAUGGAAGGGCCAUCGCUCAACGGAUAAAAGGUACUCUGGGGAUAACAGGCUGAUUCCUCCCAAGAGUUCAUAUCGACGGGGGAGUUUGGCACCUCGAUGUCGGCUCAUCACAUCCUGGGGCUGUAGCCGGUCCCAAGGGUAUGGCUGUUCGCCAUUUAAAGUGGUACGUGAGCUGGGUUUAAAACGUCGUGAGACAGUUUGGUCCCUAUCUGCCGUGGGCGUUGGAAGUUUGAAGGGGGCUGCUCCUAGUACGAGAGGACCGGAGUGGACGAACCUCUGGUGUAUCGGUUGUCACGCCAGUGGCAUUGCCGAGUAGCUAAGUUCGGAAGAGAUAACCGCUGAAAGCAUCUAAGCGGGAAACUCGCCUUGAGAUGAGACUUCCCGGGAACUAGAUUCCCCUAAAGGGUCGUUCGAGACCAGGACGUUGAUAGGUCAGGUGUGGAAGCGCAGUAAUGCGUUAAGCUAACUGAUACUAAUUGCCCGUGCGGCUUGUUCCU
rnacentral:rRNA from 1 species